rnacentral:rRNA from 1 species
GACGAACGCUGGCGGCGUGCUUAACACAUGCAAGUCGAACGGAAAGGCCCUGCUUUUGUGGGGUGCUCGAGUGGCGAACGGGUGAGUAACACGUGAGUAACCUGCCCUUGACUUUGGGAUAACUUCAGGAAACUGGGGCUAAUACCGGAUAGGAGCUCCUGCUGCAUGGUGGGGGUUGGAAAGUUUCGGCGGUUGGGGAUGGACUCGCGGCUUAUCAGCUUGUUGGUGGGGUAGUGGCUUACCAAGGCUUUGACGGGUAGCCGGCCUGAGAGGGUGACCGGCCACAUUGGGACUGAGAUACGGCCCAGACUCCUACGGGAGGCAGCAGUGGGGAAUAUUGCACAAUGGGCUGAAGCCUGAUGCAGCAACGCCGCGUGCGGGAUGACGGCCUUCGGGUUGUAAACCGCUUUCGCCUGUGAUGAAGCGUGAGUGACGGUAAUGGGUAAAGAAGCACCGGCUAACUACGUG